rnacentral:ncRNA from 1 species
UAUCUGGUUGAUCCUGCCAGUAGUCAUAUGCUUGUCUCAAAGAUUAAGCCAUGCAUGUCUAAGUACAAACCUUAAUACGGUGAAACCGCGAAUGGCUCAUUAAAUCAGCUAUGGUUCCUUAGAUCGUCUCAUCCUACUCGGAUAACUGUGGAAAAUCUAGAGCUAAUACGUGCUUACAAGCCCUGACCUCACGGGAGGGGCAUUUAUUAGAUCAAAACCAAUCGGGGCUUGCCCCGUCUGCUUGGUGACUCUGGAUAACUUUUGUGCUGAUCGCAUGGCCUCUGCGCUGGCGACGUAUCUUUCAAGUGUCUGCCCUAUCAACUUACGAUGGUAGGUGAUAUGCCUACCAUGGUUAUAACGGGUAACGGGGAAUCAGGGUUCGAUUCCGGAGAGGGAGCCUGAGAAACGGCUACCACAUCUAAGGAAGGCAGCAGGCGCGCAAAUUACCCACUCCCGGCACGGGGAGGUAGUGACGAAAAAUAACGAUACGGGACUCUUUUGAGGCCCCGUAAUUGGAAUGAGUACACUUUAAAUCCGUUAACAAGUAUCUAUUGGAGGGCAAGUCUGGUGCCAGCAGCCGCGGUAAUUCCAGCUCCAAUAGCGUAUAUUAAUGUUGCUGCAGUUAAAAAGCUCGUAGUUGGAUCUGAGGACUCGAAUUGGUGGUGCACCAUACGGUGUUACUGCCGAUUCGGCCUACCUAGUCGGUGCUCGCUCUUGGUGUUCUUAAUUGAAUGCCCUGAGUGCCCGGCAAGUUUACUUUGAAAAAAUUAGA